rnacentral:rRNA from 1 species
CCCUAUUAUUUUGGAUCGUAAAUAUUUGUGCCUGAGUAGUAUUAGUUAUGUUCUUGAAACUUAAAGAAUUUGGCGGUAUCUUAUUCCAUCCAGAGGAAUCUGUCUCGUUAUCGAUAGUCCACGUUGGACCUUACUUGGUUGCUUUGGUUUGUAUACCGCCGUUUAUUGAUUAUCUUUUUAGAGUUUAUUUAAUUUUCUAGUUUCUUUAUUUUGAUUUAUUUCAGGUCAAGGUGCAGCUUGUUUCUAAGUGGAAUGAUGGAUUACAUUGUUAUUUGUUUUAUUGGAUUGUUGAUUUUAAUGUUGGCAUGAAAUUGGAUUUGGUUGUAAUGUUUUGUAGAUUAUUUUCAUGAUAAUUGGUUCUGGGAUAUGUACACAUCGCCCGUCGCUCUCAUUUAUUUUCUGAUGAGAUAAGUC